UGGGGUGUGGCUCAGUGGUAGAGUACUUGCCUAGAACGCAUGAAGCACUGGGUUCGAUCCUCAGCACCACAU
rfam:Ictidomys tridecemlineatus contig060073, whole genome shotgun sequence.